GAAGAGCUCGCUUGAGCUUUAUUUAUGCUCCCUCGGCGCAUCGGAUUCGGCUGCUCGCGAGCUGCUUUCUCUCCUCUUCCCUUUCCGGGUGCACGGCGAGGAGAAAGUCUCUAUGCAACUCAGCCCCGGCGCGCGCUUGGCCAGGUAUGUACUGCGGGCGCGGCGCGUUCUGCGCGGAAGCAGAUGCUGCUGCCGCCACGGCGGCGGCGGCUGCCAGCUCCUGGGCUCUGUAACUGUCACACCGCACCUGAGCUGAACUUGAAAAGAGAGUGAAGGGGCGACUGGGCGAACGCUUUUGGCAGACACAGAGGGUGUUUGUAGACGUGGGGGAGGAGGAUCUGUAUUAACGCCCCCCACCGUACCCACUGCACAUCACCUCCAUCUCUGCAAAUACAGCCCGAGGAGUAGAGGCAGCAGCAGCUGGACCCCCAAAGAGAGACGUGGGGCAGCGGCUGUGACCGUAUCUCCUGAGCUACAACAACAGGUCGCCUUGUUGAGACUCCUUUGGCGGGAAGGGCUACUUGGAAAGGAAGGUUUGAAAGAGUGAGAAGGGUAGGUGGAAGGAUUCCCUAAUUCGUCGAAAUAAUUCUAUUGGGUGACUCUCGUUCGUCUUCUCUAUCCUACACUCCACAUACUGACCCCAUAUUAUCCAGACUGUGCCAGGGGAGAAAUCAAAGACACCUGUUUGAAGAAACGACUGCACCUGUGUGCUUAUUUGUGCCAGAGGGUGGCCUGGCCCACCUGCUGGAAGCGGUUUGGCUAGGUUCUGUUGGGGGCGAUUGUUAAGACGUUGUAUUUUGUUGUCAUUACUCCAAACACCUGUCUUGGAGGGAAACUUGCCCUUCUGAGAACUGUGACUUUACCAGAAGCCCUAU